AACUAACGCUGGCGGCGUGCCUAACACAUGCAAGUCGUACGAGAAAGCCGGCUUCGGCUGGUGAGUAAAGUGGCGCACGGGUGAGUAACGCGUGGAUAAUCUGCCCUUAAGUGUGGAAUAACGUACCGAAAGGUGCGCUAAUACCGCAUAAUGCCUGGCAACACAAGUUGUCCGGCCAAAGAAGGCCUCUGUUUACAAGCUUUCGCUUCAGGAUGAGUCCGCGUACCAUUAGCUUGUUGGUGGGGUAAUGGCCUACCAAGGCUGCGAUGGUUAGCUGGUCUGAGAGGAUGAUCAGCCACACUGGAACUGAGACACGGUCCAGACUCCUACGGGAGGCAGCAGUGAGGAAUAUUGCGCAAUGGGGGCAACCCUGACGCAGCAACGCCGCGUGAGUGAGGAAGGUUUUCGGAUUGAAACCUCUGUUCUUGGUGACGAAAAGUGACGGUAGCCGAAAGGAGAAAGCCCCGGACUAACGUAUGUGCCAGCAGCCGCGGUAACG
rnacentral:rRNA from 1 species